AAACAGCUUGCUUGGCAGCGCUUGGCAGCACGUAGUUACUGAUUUACUAAUGAUUUAUGAUGUAAUGAUGUAAUCCCUAGAUACGUGGAAUGUGGUGUUUCCAGUGUGUUCUAGUAUAUUUCAGCAUAUUCAUAGUAUUCUGUAUCCAUAGUGUUGUAGUUAACAACAUAUUCUAUAUAUGGAGAUUACUCGGGCAACGAUUUGUUAGCGUGUGCGUUGCAUAGAGCUUGUAUCCCUGGACCCUGUAUCCCUGGAAGCAUAUAUGCUAUAUAAGAUGGUGUGUUGUUACAAUAAAGUUGAAGCUGCAUAACCUCACAUUGAGUGUCAGGCUUCCGCGCGCUUUGGAGGGCAACCCUGUGGGAAGCGUGGGGGAGUUUCCCAACAUUUGGCGCCCAACGUGGGGCCAAUGAGUAGCGUUUAUCGUGGUUAGAUAAGUAGGGACCCUACCGGGGAGGUGCGCGAGGUGACGGACCGCAGUGACCUCCAUUGCAUUUUUGGCAGCGGAUGGCGUUUUUGGUUUGACCGGGUUGGACCGGGGUUUGCGGUUCCAGGGGCGGAUAAAGUCGUCGGCCGACGCGGUUCCCCUCUCUUCGGCGGUCGCUGGAUUACGACGCGAGGAUGGAGCGGGAGGUUUACUGUCAGCUUUAUUACAAGCUCCAUUCUUCGUGUAUUACCAUCUUCUCUUUGAAGACAGCACUGGAAUAUGCUUCAGCAAUAAAAAUACUUCUCAGGUUGUAUCGUGACGGAGCCUUGAUGAGCUCUUGUAAUCGAAUAAGGCCUUAAAGAAAAUAGAGGAGUCAAAGAAAAGAAAAUCAUCAAAACAGGAACCUGAGUUGCUGGUAACAAAACACAAAAGCAGAAGAGGAUGACUAAUGCCUUUGCAGUCUUCUUCAAUACUUUACAAUUCCAUUUUGGAUUACUCAACCUUCACUAUGGAAGUAGAUGCAGUAAUAUUUUCCCCCAAAUGCUCUUGUUCGCAGCAGCAUGAUAGCGUAUGGUGUGGUAUGCAGAUCACUGACUGGUCUGAGACCAAUACUGAAUAAUAGGUUAACUGUCUUCAAACAACAGGAUAAAGACAGGUCUUUUAUAAAGUAGCGGUUUAUUUCAACAUUAGAAAAAAAAGGUGUGCUAACUACUGUCUUGCAUUGGAGGGUAGUCAGUAGCAGUAAAAAGGGUUACAGUUCAUAUUGUUUCCAGACCACAUAUAGUUCGCUGUAUUCACUGAACUGUCAAAAACCAGAACCUCUGCUUAGUAUUUUCAUCAGCAGGAUCAGAGCCUAAAUAAAGUGCUUUUAAAAUUUGAGAUAGCUCACUUUACUGCAUCAAAAACAAUAGUGGAAAUAACUAAUUAUUAUUUAGUUAUCAUCACAGGCCAUUGUCUAGUAUAAAAAAAUAUAUAGCAUUUUGUCUUAUUCCUAAAUAUUCUUCCUGGUUAAAACUGAAUGUCAAAGCUACCUUGACUUCACAAAAAAAAUGUGUAAUAAAUCAUGAAAGUAUACUAUAGUCUCAGUAAGAAAUUGUGAUAAGCUCCGCAAUAAAGAGAAUUUACUUUUGUUUUGGUGCGUAUCCUUUUUGCGAAUUACAUUUUUUGUUCAAUGACAUAAAACUGAGAGACUUUAACAACAUAAUACUUCAGUGAUGCUCUUUUCGUGAUGCUUUUGGACUGCAAAAUGGCCUUAGCUCUAAUCUCCAACUGAAUUAGAGAAAUAGAGAAAAAAUCUGAAAGAGAAAAUCAGAUACUUCUAUUUUAUCAUCCCUCCCUUUUUGACCCUGCAAAGGAUCCGCAUUAUCUUAAUGCUGCUGGAAUUAGCUGGAACAGGAAUUAUAGCUUAUUACAUGAGAUCUUCUCAGAUUAAGACUGUAGAUCUGGCAUAGGAAUUCAAUAUAUCGCAGAGUUUUAAACAGUCCACACAAAUGCAUCUUGCUUGAGGGAUUUAUGAAGACGAUAGAAAGAGCAACUCUCAGAGCAACAGAGCGUUAGUUCAGCUCUUGGUUAGCUGGGUAGAUUUCCCUGAGGUCAACCUUGCUAUGCAGUUAAUUUAAGAAAUUUUUUUGUCACUCACAUGUCUGUGUUACAGAUGCAACAUUUUGCAUUUCAUCAUGAACUUUUGGUAACACUCCUAGAACACACAUACACAUUGUUCAAACUGAGACAAUUGUUACCUACAGCUAAAUAAUCUAUGAAAUUUCUAUUUUCCAUGAAACAUUUCUGUAGGAUCUCCAUUAACAGCAAGUACUGUGAAGAAAUAAACCCAGAAAUUCGGUAUGUGCUGAUAAUCUUCUUACAAAAAUAUAAUGUGAAACACGAUAACAUUUUUUCUACUUAACAGUAUGCCAAUAUUUAAGGUUAGAGCAAAAUAUCUUAGCUCAAGAGGGGAUAAAAAUAAUUCCAUAUGUUCCAGAUUAUUUUUAAUAUCUUACUUGAUACAGUCAAUUGGAAACUUUUCAACAAUAAUAAUUUUGACAUAUUACAUUAUAUCUGGUGUGUCUAAUUUUAGGUUUGUCCUGCUUUGCUUACUUCAUAUUUUUUUCUGUUCUGCCUUGAAAAGAAAAUAAAAGUCAACACUAAAGAAAGACAGAAACAUCACUGCACUUGUUGACAAUCUUUAGCAGAGAUGCUGAAGGCAGAACAGAUAUGACUAGACCUGGUCUCAUGAAUAAAUCUCAUCCACGCUUGCUAAGACAAAAAGAAGUAAUAGGUAGAAUAUAGAUGACCUCCACAUAAAUGGCAGAUAUGAGCCUACAUGAUUGUGAAAACAGUACCUUUAGAAACUAUAACUUGAAUAAAACUUGCCACACUUACCUCAAAUGCUAUCUUGGUAUUUAGAGAAUCAAUGUAUUUAAUGGAAACCGAAAUGGAUUUGAUGCUUGACUUCUAAAUGCCUCAACUAAAUAAACAUGAGCCAUCUUGAA